rnacentral:tRNA from 1 species
GGGAAUGUGGCUUAGUGGUAGAGUGCUUGCCUAGCAUGCAUGAAGUUCUGGGUUCAAUUCCUCAGUACCA